AUGAUCUCCACGUCGCGAGGCCGACUGGGAAGGCCCGCAGUUCUCCCCUCGCUCUGCAGCCGCCCCAGAACAGACACCGCUGUCCCCGAGCCCUCUGGGAAGUGGAGUCCUUCCGCCGGGACCCCCGACCCGGCGCGGUCGCCUCCAAGUGCGCAGAUGCGACUCCAGACAGAGCCUCGGGCUCGAGCCUUUUGUCUCCCCGCAGCUCGGUGGGUCCAGAAGGCGACGGUGUCCGCCUCCCCCGCCCCUCCCAGAGCGCAGCCCGGAGGGGAUCCAGCCCUGGAGCCGGAGCCAGGUCGGCCACGAGUCCGUAGUGAAUUAGGAGGAAGUCCUAGCAAUAACAAGAGGACAAGGAGAAGCUGAUCAUGGAUUAUCUGACCAUUGAAGUUGAGGAAAAUGGUAAGAAUUACGCAAAUCAACGUGGAGUUGAAAGUGGGGACAAGCAGAGGAAAUACCCUCCAUAAGAAUAAAAAGGUUAGGUGCCCCUGCAUGAUGGGAAAGGGAAACAGACACAUGUCAGGAGAAGACCCCAAAGUAGAGAAACUCAGUAAGCCAUCAUGUUUGGAAAUCACUAAGAAGGCUCCUUGUCAGACAUUCCCCUCUCUCAUCUUCCUCUUUCAGCGCUUCUGUGCUCAUACACAUUCCCUCUGAUGCUGUGGCAGGGAGAAUAUUCCACAGUGCUUGUUUUUGUGGUAAAGAACAGGUCACACUUUUCCACUCCCAUAGGAGUGUACCAAAAUAUUGACAUACUAUGUGUGCAUUUAGCUUUUUGGUCAAAGUGCUUUCGUGUUAUUAUCUUCCUCUGUCCUUAUCUGAUCCUUUUGAGUUAAGUAGAGUAGGUCUUGUGUAUAUAAUUUCUCUGGCUUGUGCUAGCUUUUGUCCUUGUGAAUUUGUAAGUGGGAAGGUAGAGUUUAUCCCCUUCAUGGCUUUACUUCUGCUUCUUCCAGCUAUGACUAUAGAAGAUGUUUCUUUGUCCCAAGAACAGAGCGCAGAAGAAAUGGAACCUACUGGAGAGCUUCUUCCUGUUGAGUUCCAGGCAAGUUUGAGUUUCAUUUCCCUCCUGUGAAAUCUCAGUUUGGUGUUCAGAGUGUGUCCUCAUUUCUUCCUUUCGUCUCACUUCGGAGGUUCAUGGAAAUCUCAUCUGGAGAGCUGAACCAAAGUAAUUUUUCCUUGAAGACUUGAAGCUCUAGGAGGAGCUCAGGCUGGAGUUUAAAUUUGGGAGGAACC
rnacentral:lncRNA from 1 species